rnacentral:lncRNA from 1 species
UUUGUUCAUGGGAUACGGGAGCUAUCCUGGCUGGCAGCAGGAUAUGGAUGAAACGAAUUCGGAAGAAGAUUAUGGCUCUGAUCUGUGAUGAAGAGAAGAUGGAGCUUAUCCGUGGAUAGGCUGGGGAGUGGAGACAGUUGUGAAGAUACGAUGGGAAGAGGAUGAGGAUGCUGGGAUGUUGGGGAUUUCAUGGGAUCAAGCCGGAAGAGAAGGACGAUGAAGUUAAUCCAAAUGCUGGGAAGAAUGUUGCGGCUGGGAAGUCUUGGGAGGAAGACACGUACGGUGCUUGGAUGCGGAACAGGGGUUGUGUUUGGGUUGGGUGUGGGAAGAUGUUGGGAACGAGCUGGGAGAUGUCCGUGAAUGGAUUGUGGGAUGAUG